rnacentral:pre_miRNA from 1 species
GACGUGUGUGAAUCUCGUACGUGUCGUCGUUUGCUAUACAUGACUAGAUACACACUCGUCU